CAGUAGCCGCGGUAAUACGUAGGUGGCAAGCGUUGUCCGGAAUUAUUGGGCGUAAAGGGCUCGCAGGCGGUUUCUUAAGUCUGAUGUGAAAGCCCCCGGCUCAACCGGGGAGGGUCAUUGGAAACUGGGAAACUUGAGUGCAGAAGAGGAGAGUGGAAUUCCACGUGUAGCAGUGAAACGCGUAGAGAUGUGGAGGAACACCAGUGGCGAAGGCGACUCUCUGGUCUGUAACUGACGCUGAGGAGCGAAAGCGUGGGGAGCGAACAGGAUUAGAUACCCGGGUAGUCCCUGUCUCUUAUAC
rnacentral:rRNA from 1 species